rnacentral:rRNA from 1 species
UACGGAGGGGGCUAGCGUUGUUCGGAAUUACUGGGCGUAAAGGGCGCGUAGGCGGCCUCCUAAGUCGGACGUGAAAUCCCCGAGCUCAACUCGGGAACUGCGUCCGAUACUGGUUGGCUUGAAUCCGGGAGAGGGAUGCGGAAUUCCAGGUGUAGCGGUGAAAUGCGUAGAUAUCUGGAGGAACACCGGUGGCGAAGGCGGCAUCCUGGACCGGCAUUGACGCUGAGGCGCGAAAGCGUGGGGAGCAAACAGG